rnacentral:rRNA from 1 species
UACGGAGGAUCCCAGCGUUAUCCGGAAUUAUUGGGUUUAAAGGGUCCGUAGGCGGAUUAAUUAGUCAGCGGUGAAAUUUCGAGGCUUAACUUCGAACUGGCCGUUGAAACUGUUAAUCUAGAGUCAUUGUGAUGUGGUUGGAACGUGCAGUGUAGCGGUGAAAUGCAUAGAUAUUGCGCAGAACACCAAUUGUGAAAACAGAUCACAAACAAUGAACUGACGCUGAGGGACGAAAGCGUGGGGAGCAAACAGG